AUCACGUUGACUUGUAAUGGGUGGCACCAUUUUUUACAAAGACAUAUGGAAACGUCUGCCUUUUCGAAGGCCGACAGGCGACGGGAUAGGUCGAGGAGGAGUAAAUGGCCACGGGAUAGGUCGAGGAGGAGUAAAUGGCCACGGGAUAGGUCGAGGAGGAGUAAAUGGCGACGGGAUAGGUCGAGGAGGAGUAAAUGGCCACGGGAUAGGUCGAGGAGGAGUAAAUGGCGACGGGAUAGGUCGAGGAGGAGUAAAUGGCGAGGGGAUAGGUCGAGGAGGAGUAAAUGGCGAGGGGAUAGGUCGAGGAGGAGUAAAUGGCCACGGUGCUUGAAUCCUAUAGUGCGGCAAUUGAAGUGUGUGAUAAUGAAUUUAAAAAAUAGUGAAAUUAAAAGAAUGGAACAAAAUAAGUUGUAGUAGAAGACAAGGACUGGUGCAAUAAUGCAUUUCUUAUUGGGCUGCGCUUUUUGGGGGGACAAGGAGAUUCGUUUGGGAAAUCAAUUUGUAGUAUCGAGGACUGUAAAGGAAAGUAAAGGGAAAGGUGGGAUUCAAUCAAGGUGACUAGAUGUUGUUUUGGUUCAUUGUUUUGAUGAAGAACAGAAGAAGCUUGCACUGCAUCUGGCAAAGUUGUCCAUGUCAGAAGUAUUGAUCUUCGGAGCACGGUGCCUGCCAAAGGAGUUACAGCUGGAGUCUCCUUGGAUAUGGAUGAGCACCUUAGUCAGAAGAUCCCAAGAGGGGUCAGUGCAUGUUGCCUGACCUGUAUGGUAAAUGGAAGGAAGGAGAAAAGCCUGUGGAUAUUAUUGUUGUUUGAGACUCUACCUGAAUAUGUGAAGGACAAAUGUGAGGUAUGUGGUGAGAGCAUUUACGUCCAAACCGUUACAGGUCACGUCAAAUGUUUGCCGACGGGAGUAAGUAUGAAGUUGAAGAAUCUGUGAAUGGAAAAUGUUGCAACUGUGGUGGGGAUCAUACUUCGGAUUUCCUUGAGUGUUAGAAGGCCGAAGGAGGACCAUGGUUGCAUUUAAACUUUAGAUCACCGGUUACUUUGUAGCUGAAUGUUAAAUGUUUUUUUUUUAGCAAUGGGAAGUAAUACUUGUACAUUUAGAUUGGGAAAUGCCUAAUCCAGGUGAAAAAUAUUGGAUAAGAGUAGAGAGCGAGAGAUCAUGAGCAGAUGGGCUCCUGCAUUUUUAAAAAAAAAUUUUUUUUUACAAAAGAUAAACUUGUUUUUUUUCCUCAAGGACAUAUACAUGAUACUACCCUCCACUCCAAUUCAAAACUCCAAACCUACAACCUGAUUUUGGACAAAAUUACCUGGUAAGAUUCCUACUACCAAACAUUCUUAAUUUCCAAGGACUAUAUAGCUAAUGCGCUGGAAAACCAACGACCAGCAAGAGAUGCACAACAGAAACCUGAAAACACCAUCCAACCUGGAACUGAGUAAUGUUUAGUCUGAAGCUACUUUAAAAGCCAAGAAGAUAAAAUAUGUAUUUCAAUUACAUAUUUUACUUUAUAAGGAAUUAAUAAUAAAUUAAGGCUACCAAGCUUGCUAGGACAGAACCGAUCCGGCUGCAACUUCAAAUAGCACUGAUGUAUGAAGUGUGAAGUGAGAGGUGUCAAUGCUCUUGAGCCCAAAAAUGGCAGGAGAGUUUCCCAGCCUACCACAUACACAUGCAGAGGCCUUUGAAGCUUCCUCCCUCUGUGGGAGGUCAUUAUGAUACAG
ensembl:lncRNA